CACACUGUAAACGAUGAUAACUCGCUGCCGGCGAUACAUUGUUGGUGGCCAAGCGAAAGCAUUAAGUUAUCCACCUGGGGAGUACGACCGCAAGGUUGAAACUCAAAGGAAUUGACGGGGGCCCGCACAAGCGGAGGAACAUGUGGUUUAAUUCGAUGAUACGCGAGGAACCUUACCCGGGCUCGAACGGUGCAUGAAUAUACGAGAGAUUGUAUAGUCCUUCGGGACAUGUAUCGAGGUGC
rnacentral:rRNA from 1 species